UAAAUUUAUUUAGUUUGUAAAAAUUUCCAAGAAAUAGCUGCUUUAUUAAAAAACCGUACUGAAUCCGACACAGGUGGAUAGGUUGAGUAAACUAAGGUGCUUGAACGAACUUUGUUGAAGGAACUCGGCAAAAUAACCCCGUAACUUCGGGAAAAGGGGUGACUUUUUCGGGGCAACCCGUAAAAGUUGACACAAAAAUGGAGGUAGCGACUGUUUAAUAAAAACACAGGUUUCUGCUAAUUUGUAAAAAGAUGUAUAGAAACUGACACCUGCCCAGUGCUGCAAGGUAAAUAAAUUAUUGUCUUGGCUUUAAUUUUAAACCCCAGUAAACGGCGGCGGUAACUCUGACCGUCCAAAGGUAGCGAAAUUCUUUGUCGGGUAAGUUCCGACCUGCAUGAAUGGUGUAACGACUUCCUUACUGUCUC
rnacentral:rRNA from 13 species